rnacentral:lncRNA from 1 species
CCGGAAGUUGGGAACGGCCCUGAUCCUGGACCACACCACGACAUUGCAGGCACACCCCUGCGGGGUUUCUUCCACCACACCAGGGAGGCAGGAAGGAAAGCGAGGCUGAUGAAUGAGAACACGGGGCUGGACGAGGACCAGAGUCUGGACACCAGCCCCAGCCCCGGAGCAGCAGCCCCUGCUGACCCUGCUCCAGGUGGAGGCGAUGGGAAGAGAGGAAGCACCCGGGCCACAAGUCUUACGCUGGGCGCGGGAUAAAGCCGAGGUCCUCAUCCACAGGGCCGUGGCUGGUCAGGGAAAUGGACGUGUCCAUCAAAACCUAUAAAACGAUGAAGCAGGACAAAGAAGUGGUGCUGGCUCCAGGAGCUGCAGGUGGAUGUGGCCGUCUGGGAUGUCACUAACCCUGACCGCUCCAUGUGUGCCAGUGUCCACGCUCAUCCACACAUCGUGCCACUCCAGCCUCACAGCAACCAGAGAGCAGGAGUCGUUUCUGUUCCACAGAUGAGCAAGCAGAGGCCCAGGUGGGACAAGGACUUUGCCCCAAGACCACAGGGGUUGGACUCAGCUCUACCAUUCCCUGGGAGACCCCUCCGCACCCUGCCUGGGCAGACUUCCUCUGGGACUGAUUCUAAAACUGGCCCUGGGCCCUGUCCAUCCAGGGAGCUGGCAGCCUCCUCUUCCCACACAGCUUUUCCAGCCUCUUGGUUACAAUCCCGUUAUUUGCCACCACAUGUCCCUCUUCUUUUCCUUUCGAAGAUGACUCAUAAGAUGAAACGAG